UUGGCCUCACCGCCCACGUCGACGGCUCGCCGGCCCAGGCGACUUCCUACUGGGUUCUCAUUGACUUCGCCGUCCUCUCUUGGUACAACGCCAUCGUGACUCCGUCGACGUUGGAGAUCGUCGUCGAUCGCAAGGAUACAUCGUAUUCCCUCUGGCGCUCGCUUCGCUCUCUCUUCCGUAGCAACUGCGACGCCCGGAUCACCUACCUCCUCGACGAGUUCCACAACUUUACCCAAGGCGAUCUCUUCGUCGUCGACUACACCUCCCGGCUUAAGACCAUGGCUGACACCCUCCAGGAUCUUGGCCACUGCCUCAAGGACCGCAAGCUCGUUCACAACGUGCUCCGCAGCCUCGACAAGCGUCUCCAACACGUCGUCCCGCACAUGACCCGCGGCCGUCGCCCCUCCUUCACCAAAAGUUCUGGGCGACUGGCCAUACAAUACUUCAAACAGUGAUUUCCAUUGAAGCGCUGAAUGAGGGCUGGUGUUUAUACCAAAACUCAGCAAGAGACAACCAUUGAGCCCGCUUAACUGGACAUGCAUGAAUAAAACAACGCAAAUAGGCCUCCAGGCAUUCAGUGACUCUUGGACUGACCAUCAGUUUGGGGAUGAUGAGAAGAACUCAUGCGUAGCUUUGGUCCGUGUGAGUGCUGCCAUUUUCUUCCAAAACCGGCUGGAAAGAUAAGGUCUUGAUCUAUCACAAUUGACUCAGUUAAGUGGGCCACAACCAGAACACAGUUGAAACGUCCAGAGCGAGGCAACACUUCUCCAAAAUCCAUUGUGAGCAUUUGCCAAAACUUGCAGGGAACAAGCAAAGGCUCUGAAAGUCCUGGAUAGCAAGUUCGAUCAGGUUUGGCUCACUGACAAACCAUACACUCUUGAACAUACUUUUUCACCCAAGCCCUCAUGUGCUUCCAGUAAAAAAGUUACUUCAGACGGUGAAGAGUAACUGGAAUGCCAGAGUGGCCCCCAAUAGGACUGGUAUGAAAGGCAUCCAACAAUUUGGGGACCAGGUUCAUGUCAGGAGGAAGCCAGGUACGAUCUUUACAACGGAUCAAACCAUCCCUGAGAGAAAAAUGAUCGUCUUCAGAAAUUUGCACUGCUAAUUUGACUAGUAAUUCCUGAGCUUCAAUAUUUUCUUGGUAGACAUCUAAGAUCUCUUGUAUCCAAGCAGGUUGGUGAGGAGAUAUAGCCAGUAACUGAUCAUCAAGAUGAGCUCGAAUGUAUUUCCUGUGGUUACACAUGGUUUUCGUCAAGAGAUGCCAUCUCAUCGCUGACGGUCGAUACUCCAAGUUCUGGUGGGAAUGUAGGCACCGCUCCCUGGGCAACAGCAAAGUUUGAUGUCCUUCAGAAGCAGCUGGUGAGCCCUCGGGAUCAGCCAGACAAUAAGGCAAGUGCUGAUGCUCUCCAGAAGAACACGGUGGCAUCCAUUCCUAAACUUGAGAGGCAGAAAUCAUUCAUCAAACCGAAGCUAGAGGAGCCCUCUGCACCCACACUGGAGAAACAGAAGGCGUUCACCAAGCUAAAGCCGGAGGAACCCUCUGCACCCACACUGGAGAAACAGAAGGCGUUCACCAAGCCAAAGCCGGAGGAACCCUCUGCACCUUCGGCUAGUCAUUAGUGAAUGAUCAUGGGCGUUGCAAUGUUUCAGAGAUUGUACACCGGCAGCUCCUAAACAUUCAGUAGAAGCAUGAAUAGGAUGACAACACUUUCUUGUAGUCUAUCGUUAAAAAUUUCGUUAAAACUAGUUUCAUACUUCCACAAGCUA